rnacentral:snRNA from 1 species
GUACUUACAUUGGCAGCACAUGGACAAAAUUAGAAUGAAACAGAAAAUUAGCUUGGCUCCUGAUCAAAGACAGCACACAAAUUUGUGGAAUGUCCCAUAUUUAA